CGCGUAGGCGGCCUGGUAAGUCAGAUGUGAAAGCCCGGGGCUUAACCCCGGAAGUGCAUUUGAUACUGUCAGGCUUGAGUAUGGGAGAGGGAAGUGGAAUUCCUGGUGUAGAGGUGAAAUUCGUAGAUAUCAGGAGGAACACCGGUGGCGAAGGCGACUUCCUGGACCAAUACUGACGCUGAGGCGCGAAGGCGUGGGGAGCAAACAGGAUUAGUUACCCUGGUAGUCC
rnacentral:rRNA from 1 species